AGAAGAAAUGUUGGCCAACGCUAAACGAGUUCGUCAGAAGCAACUAAACAUUGAUCAACUUCACUAUCAGUUGACAACAGAGAAUCUUCGGGCCAGCGAAGAAAUGAAUGUUUUGAAGCAGCAGAACUCUGAUCUCAAGCUGCCGGUAACCCAAGCAAGACAACAGGCUGACCAAUUUUACAAAACGGGUUUGGAGAGAAAUAUUGAUGCCGUAUCAUUAUAAUAAACCAGUUGUCAGCAUGCAUUAAAAUUGGAUCUUGCCAGUCACGGAAA